UUUAUUAUUAUAGUUAAAGCAUAAGGAGUGGCCUGGGGCGAGGAGGGCGGUUGAUCUUGGGAAAUUACCGCCCGUGGUUUCCUGGGCAGCCCACAAAACCACUUUCCCUUCUACCACCUUCAAGAACUGAUCCGGUUAGGGUUAGGGUUUAUUUUGAUAGGAAUCCUUCAAGAACCGGGAAAUCCCACUUUUUGGCAACUCUCUUUCUCGAAUCGGAAUUCUUGGGUCUUUGUCUAUAAUUCAUCUGUUUUUGGCAAACAGAAGAUAUGGGCUCCUCAAGAAUUUGUAAGUUAUGAUCUGAAAAUAAUAUGCAUCUAUCAUAUAUUUUCAUUUGUUGUUGUUGGGUUUUCCUGUUUCCUUGUUUCUUGUGUUUAAUAUGCAUAGUUCUGUUGCUCAAAUAAAAAGUGUGAAACAUGUGAGUUAUAGAAUCUUGUGUGUGGAAAUCAUGUUAUGGAGGAUUAAUCAUGUUAAUCUAACUAAACAUAUGCAACUGCCUGUCUAUGGAUUUUUUUUU
rnacentral:lncRNA from 1 species